rnacentral:tRNA from 1 species
GGCGGCAUGGCCAAGUGGUAAGGCAGGGGACUGCAAAUCCUUUAUCCCCAGUUCAAAUCUGGGUGCCGCCUG